rnacentral:lncRNA from 1 species
CUAGAGUUAAACUUCUCCUUUUGUCCAUAGGACAAAAAAAAUAUUUAAAUAAUAAACAAAAUUCCAAUGUUCUUUUAUUUUCUUAUUUUUGUAUUUUUAGUGGAAUACCAACUUCAUGUACACUUGGCUUAUUCAGCACCCAUAAAAUUCAAUGGACCACCAUCCGGACAAAAGGAUAAAAACAGAACACAUCAAGAUAAUGAAUUUUCUUCAAACUACUGAGGUACAAUGAAAAAUGGAAAUAUUAUCUCAGAAAUUACAACAGAGGGAUGAAGAUAUAGCAUAUGCUGUACCUAAAAGAUACAUCAAAUGGGACAUUGGGAAUAUGGAUUGAUGAAAUUUAAUUUGCGAUUGUCCUAUAAUGCCUUUUCAUUACAGUACCACACAAAUUGAGGCAAUAAAUGUAUAUUUGAUCAAAAAA